AUAUCUGAAGCAUAUUUGACAACAGAAAAAGUUAAUGUAAUUUUCAAAGGAAAAACGCCAACUUUUUUCAAAAAGGAAACAGCAACUGGAGAGCAGAUUUGCAAAUCAGAAAAGCAACUCAUGAAUACAAAUUGCCUGGAAAGCAUUUAUUACCACAGAAGCUCUGCAAGAUACACUGGAAAUUGACAGUGGCAUCAAAUUCCCAGCAAGGAAGUUUUCUAAGGACGCCAACAGACACCAGCAGAAGACAGACUUGCAUUUACAACAAACCAUUGAUCCACACUUUCAAAAUCAUUAAGGUGAAGCAUAGAGAACUGGAGUGAGCAUCUAGACGGCUCUGGCAAAUCCAAACAAUAUCAAAAGCACUCUCAUACUGAAAACCCACAGUGCUGAACCACAGCUGAGAUGUAAAAUAUUUCACAAAAUCUUCUUCACCCUCUAUAGUAUUUCACCUGAGAGUGCAUGAUUUAAGUUGUAAGCACUGUCAUAGAUGAUGGGAUUCAGAGAUGAACACGUGGAAAUGGACUUUAUGUUCUCUAAUGUCACAAAGAAAGUGAUUAUGAAGAAGACCCGGAUUCCCACCUAUUAAUCUGAGCUUUGAAUUCUUUACUUUGCUGGGUCCACCGGACUUUUUCUCCACUCAGCCCAUCGAUGAGAGUGGAGGCGGCCUGCAUCUUUUUCCGGCACGUGUCAGCAUCAUUAAGCAAAUCCUGCAGCCGUAAUGGGAGAAUGUCUCAAA
rnacentral:antisense_RNA from 1 species